rnacentral:rRNA from 1 species
CGGAUCCGCGCCGCUGCAGAGUUUGAUCCUGGCUCAGGAUAAACGCUGGCGGCGCACAUAAGACAUGCAAGUCGAACGGAAGCCGUUAUAAAGGAAAUGGAUUGAAGGAUUUAUCUAGAUUGAAGUGGAAAUUAUAACAAUGACUUUAGUGGCGGACUGGUGAGUAACGCGUGAGCAACCUGCCUAUUAGAGGGGAAUAACAGUGAGAAAUCAUUGCUAAUACCGCAUAAGCUUGUAGUAUCGCAUGAUACAGCAAGAAAAGGAGAAAUCCGCUAAUAGAUGGGCUCGCGUCUGAUUAGCUAGUUGGUGUGGUAACGGCAUACCAAGGCAACGAUCAGUAGCCGAGCUGAGAGGCUCUACGGCCACAUUGGGACUGAGAUACGGCCCAGACUCCUACGGGAGGCAGCAGUCGGGAAUAUUGCGCAAUGGAGGAAACUCUGACGCAGUGACGCCGCGUAUAGGAAGAAGGUUUUAGGAUUGUAAACUAUUUUAGACAGGGAAGAGAAAAGACUGUACCUGUAGAAUAAGCUCCGGCUAACUACGUGCCAGCAGCCGCGGUAAUACGUAGGGAGCAAGCGUUAUCCGGAAUUAUUGGGUGUAAAGGGUGCGUAGACGGGAACUUAAGUUGGUUGUGAAAUCCCUUGGCUUAACUGAGGAACUGCAACCAAAACUGGGAUUCUUGAGUGCUGGAGAGGAAAGCGGAAUUCCUAGUGUAGCGGUGAAAUGCGUAGAUAUUAGGAGGAACACCAGUGGCGAAGGCGGCUUUCUGGACAGUAACUGACGUUGAGGCACGAAAGUGUGGGGAGCAAACAGGAUUAGAUACCCUGGUAGUCCACACUGUAAACGAUGGAUACUAGGUGUAGGAGAUGAUUUCAUCAUCUGUGCCGAAAGCAAACGCAAUAAGUAUCCCACCUGGGGAGUACGGCCGCAAGGUUGAAACUCAAAGGAAUUGACGGGGGCCCGCACAAGCAGUGGAGUAUGUGGUUUAAUUCGAAGCAACGCGAAGAACCUUACCAGGGCUUGACAUAUAGAUGAAUACAUAAGAGAUUAUGUAGUAUUUUUAAUACAUCUAUACAGGUGGUGCAUGGUUGUCGUCAGCUCGUGUCGUGAGAUGUUGGGUUAAGUCCCGCAACGAGCGCAACCCCUGUUCUUAGUUGCCAGCAUGUAAAGAUGGGAACUCUAAGAAGACUGCCGGUGAGAAAUCGGAGGAAGGUGGGGACGACGUCAAAUCAUCAUGCCCUUUAUGUCCUGGGCUACACACGUACUACAAUGGCCGCAACAGAGAGAAACGAAACAGUGAUGUGGAGUAAAACUUAAAAAACGGUCUCAGUUCGGAUUGAAGGCUGAAAUUCGCCUUCAUGAAGUCGGAAUUGCUAGUAAUGGCAGGUCAGCAUACUGCCGUGAAUACGUUCCCGGGCCUUGUACACACCGCCCGUCACACCAUGAGAGUUGGAGAUACCCGAAGCCUGUGAGCUAACUUUUAGAGGCAGCAGUCGAAGGUAGAGCCAAUGAUUGGGGUGAAGUCGUAACAAGGUAA